GCCACCGCGAGGUGGGGUCUGAAGGAAGCCGCAGGCAAAGCACUGGCCCGACGAACAGAAACCGCAUACGAGGCGUCCGUGCCGGGUGAGGAGUCACGUGUCUCUAAAGCCCAGUACCUGUCCGGAAGGCGCGGCCGUAUAUGCGGCGGGUAUAAGUGUGAAGGUGAGUGCG
rfam:Syntrophobacterales bacterium RIFOXYC2_FTLL_60_23 rifoxyc2_full_scaffold_29604_curated, whole genome shotgun sequence.